GAGUGCAAAAAUAUCAGAGAUGAAACGAAAAAGAUCAAAACAGAGAGGGGGAGGAGAAACCUAGGUAAGGUCGGAGGAGGGAUGCGUCAGAACCUUAUGUAGGAAGUAGAGAUAAUGACGUAAAUAUAAUUAAUACUACAAUCACGGAGUCCUGAAAGUCGCAUGUUAUUGCAUUACCGCUGCACAUCAUCAAUAUAUACAUUACCAUGACGGCACAGAAACAGGAAGCGAGUGAGUCAGAUCCGAAACACAGCAUGAUCGUGUCCACAACGCGCACGACACAACCGUAAACGUGUCAUACAAUAUCAAGGGGCAUUACAGGUUCGCAGAUGCAAGGCCGGGUGGCUUCUCUACUACUCCCUCCGUCCCAAAAUUCUUGUCUUAGAUUCAUCUAGAUACGGAUAUAUCUAAUACUAAAACGUGAUUUGAUACAUCCGUAUUUAAACAAAUCUAAGACAAGAAUUUUGGGACGGAGGGAGUACAUUACUCCAGGCCCAGGCCAAUGCUAGCCUGUCAAGUCGACGGCGCUAUCAGCUCAUCCAGGCCUUCUUCUUGAAGCCCUGCACAGAUGAUGUUAUACGCAGUUGUGAGCAGGUAAAUUUGGAACUUUAAACCUAUACGAACUUGUGCUGGAGAUCAUAAAAAGCUCUCCUACUCAACCCAGUGGCGCAUGUUCAAAUCACCAGAGGGCGCCACGUUUUUCGAUGGUGGAAGACCUGCAAUUCUACUCCUGAUAGGAAUAUCCUAGUAAGAACAAAGAACAAACGGGGCAUCUAAUCUAAUUGGGGGCACAUACAGUCUGUUGGGGUUGCCACAUCAUUUGUUUUGCUCAAAAGGCUGCAUAACCAUUUGAAAAUCCGCAACUAGUUUGACCAUCUAGAAAAGAAAAAAAAGAAUUACUAGCACCCAAAACAUCGAAUCUACUCCCUCCGUUUCUAAAUAUAAGUCUUUUUACAGAUUUCAAUAGGGACUACAUACGGAUGUAUAUAGACAUAUUUAGAGUGUAGAUUCACUCAUUUUGCUCCGUAUGUAGUCCAUAUUAGAAUCUCUAAAAAGACUUAUAUUUAGGAACAGAGGUAUAUUAUUAUUAGACUUGUCGUGAAAUAUAUUUUCAUAAUAUAUUGCUAUUUUUAUGCGAGACAAGAUGUUUGCGCAGAGUUCGAUGGUCAAAGUACCAUAUCAAAGACCCUGUCAAUGUCCUAAAAAGCCUACGUUUUGAUUGGAGGAACUAGUUAACAUAGCAAGUUGCUCUGGACAUUCUUAUCUACUAAGAUAAGAGAAUUUAUUAAUACGUCAAGUUUCGUAUUACAGACAGCAGAGAAUCAAUAUAAACCUUUUCCAAACGUAUGCAAAAAAUCUAUAGAAUACAAAAUUAUGCUCCUGCAUAUAUAUUCAAGAAAAGUAAAGUAGAACAAAAUACCUUUUUGACAUCUGAACAUAUAUCUUCAACCCUCUUCUCUGUCUGCUUUGCAUAAGACCAUGCUUUGUGUAUAUUAGAUUCCAUCUUUUUUGAUAUAUCAAUUACACUUUGAACCUACAAUUAUAGUCCACUGAUUAGAAUUUCAACCUCUAAGCAAAAUAACAGUAAGAUGGCCAGCUGAAAACAGCUUUCAGAAAGGGCUGCACCUGCACCCACAAUUAGUUGCAAAUUCUAGUUCUCCGCAGUCUAACCACAUGCAAGUCCAUGUACUGUAUAAUACCCAUGAAUAGUUCCAAAUAAAACCUUCUAGCAAGAUAACUAUGUGGCAACUGCAAACAGGUACAGGUAGAAACAUAGGCAUUUACAUCCACUUGUACUUUGUAAUCGUCAUUGCUUCUUGGUACAUAAUAAAUAAUAUAAGAAAACUGGACAUCUUUGAUUGUACCAAAAGAAACUUGUCAGAUCAAAACUCAACACUGGGGUGAUAGAUAUGAAAUGCUACUACACUCACUGCUGCUACAAGUAAUAACCAAACAACAGUUGUUGCACCGUGCUUAUCCACCGAUCCGAUAUCCAGCAAAUCUAACAGCAGCCACAGCCAGCCAAACCAGACUCGCCGAAACCAGAAAAACCAAACAUCCAAAGGGUGUAUGACUACGUUACCCAGAUACGGUGAAUUCCUACAAACCAAGUGGCCCCUAAAAUGAGCAUCUCCAUGGAGGACCUCAAAGGGUGACUGCUCACUGCUGCUAAAUGCAUGGUUGAGAAAGGAGUCAGGUGGCUGAUCAUCCUCACAAUCUGGCGGCUCUGAAAACUCAGGAAUGCAUGUUUCUUUGAUGCGGUAACACCGCAUGUUCACUCGGUCGUUGGGGUCAUUGCAAAUGAUGCUCAGAUCUGGAUGUUGGCUGGAACGUCGCUUAUGGCUCACCUCUCCAUGCACUGUCUUUUUGGCAGUUCCGGCUGCCUAUUUUUUGGCUUAUAAUUAGUCUUGCCUCUUUCUUUUGUCGUCUGGUUGUGGUUUUGCUUUGUUUCAGCUGCCUGCCACUGUUGUUGGUUUCUAUUCUGCGCAUUCUUUGGUGUCCUAAUACGUAAACGAGGCACACUUAGGUGCAUGUUCAAGGAAUGAGCUCUUAAAUUCCCAAUGUGAACUCACCACACCUUCUUUGGUGUUCUUUUUCUAACACACAAUGAAGUGCAUUUAGCAGCACAUUCAACAAAAAGAACUCUUAAAUUUACAAUGUGUGCUCAUCAUGAGAAAUGCUAAAGAAAAAUAAUGAGUAGGGGCUAGAACAUUCACAGUGGUCAUACAUUCUAUCUUAGAAGUUUCUUUUGGCUAAAGAAGAUAAGACAAUGAUCUAAACUUUCUUGUCUACCAAGGUUCAAAUGCAAAACUAUUAGAUUUUAAAUUAGAUCUGAAAUUUCAAUCUGAAAUAACAC
rnacentral:lncRNA from 1 species